CACGUAGGUGGUUUCGUGUGUCGAUGGUGAAAUCCUGCAGCUCGACUGCAGAACUGCCGUCGAAACUACGGGGCUAGAGGGCAGGAGGGGAGAGUGGAAUUCCUAGUGUAGCGGUGAAAUGCGUAGAUAUUAGGAGGAACGCCGGUGGCGAAAGCGACUCUCUGGACUGCUUCUGACACUGAGGUGCGAAAGCUAGGGGAGCAAACA
rnacentral:rRNA from 1 species